rnacentral:rRNA from 2 species
AACCGGAUUAGAUACCCUGGUAGUCCACGCCGUAAACGAUGUCGACUUGGAGGUUGUGCCCUUGAGGCGUGGCUUCCGGAGCUAACGCGUUAAGUCGACCGCCUGGGGAGUACGGCCGCAAGGUUAAAACUCAAAUGAAUUGACGGGGGCCCGCACAAGCGGUGGAGCAUGUGGUUUAAUUCGAUGCAACGCGAAGAACCUUACCUGGUCUUGACAUCCACAGAAGUUUUCAGAGAUGAAAUGGUGCCUUCGGGAACUGUGAGACAGGUGCUGCAUGGCUGUCGUCAGCUCGUGUUGUGAAAUGUUGGGUUAAGUCCCGCAACGAGCGCAACCCUUAUCCUUUGUUGCCAGCGGUCCGGCCGGGAACUCAAAGGAGACUGCCAGUGAUAAACUGGAGGAAGGUGGGGAUGACGUCAAGUCAUCAUGGCCCUUACGACCAGGGCUACACACGUGCUACAAUGGCGCAUACAAAGAGAAGCGACCUCGCGAGAGCAAGCGGACCUCAUAAAGUGCGUCGUAGUCCGGAUUGGAGUCUGCAACUCGACUCCAUGAAGUCGGAAUCGCUAGUAAUCGUGGAUCAGAAUGCCACGGUGAAUACGUUCCCGGGCCUUGUACACACCGCCCGUCACACCAUGGGAGUGGGUUGCAAAAGAAGUAGGUAGCUUAACCUUCGGGAGGGCGCUUACCACUUUGUGAUUCAUGACUGGGGUGAAGUCGUAACAAGGUAGCC